rnacentral:rRNA from 1 species
AUUGAACGCUGGCGGCAGGCCUAACACAUGCAAGUCGAACGGUAACAGGAAGAAGCUUGCUUCUUUGCUGACGAGUGGCGGACGGGUGAGUAAUGUCUGGGAAACUGCCUGAUGGAGAGGGAUAACUACUGGAAACGGUAGCUAAUACCGCAUAACGUCGCAAGACCAAAAAGGGGGACCUUCGGGCCUCUUGCCAUCGGAUGUGCCCAGAUGGGAUUAGCUAGUAGGUGGGGUAACGGCUCACCUAGGCGACGAUCCCUAGCUGGUCUGAGAGGAUGACCAGCCACACUGGAACUGAGACACGGUCCAGACUCCUACGGGAGGCAGCAGUGGGGAAUAUUGCGCAAUGGGCGCAAGCCUGAUGCAGCCAUGCCGCGUGUAUGAAGAAGGCCUUCGGGUUGUAAAGUACUUUCAGCGGGGAGGAAGGGAGUAAAGUUAAGACCUUUGCUCAUUGACGUUACCCGCAGAAGAAGCACCGGCUAACUCCGU